rnacentral:misc_RNA from 1 species
ACCCCCAGAGCACACCCUGCACGCACGAUCCCCUCUUGCUGCCCAAGCACCAAUCAACCCCCCCCCGCUUCCCCUACUGCAUCAUGCCUCUCACGCACGACGUGGUGAUGUUACGGCGCUAAAUGUGCGUUCUGUGGUUCGUUUUUCGAUUUUGCACCUUUCCGUUGUGCCGGUUCUUGACACUGCGCUCCUGUCUUGCGUGCUCCUCUCUCUGAGCCCGCGUCUGCUGUCUGCAUUGUCUGCGCGCCAUCAUGGCCUUCAUCACAGCUGCGGCUGCUGCAGGGUUUGAGCUCAAGGGAAGAGGAAUAAACGAAAAUGGUAACGGAGUCGCACACACAGACAGCGAGACACUACGACGUGAGGAUGCGCAAUGGCGAACGCAUGCGUCCGGCACAACUGCUGUAAGAAGAAAGCACAGACACGCAGUUGGGAUUGUGAGAAUGCGCCCAUGAUGGUGCCUAGGAUGGACAGAGAGAGGGGAGGAGGGAAGGGAGAGGGGAGAGAGAAAAGAUAGUAACGGCAGCGAAAAAUAAAGGGGGUGGAGUGGGGAGGGGUAGCGACAGACGGCGCGGGGGCUGUGGCGCACGUUGCCCCCUCCCCCAACCUCUGCCCCCCUCUUGAAUUUUCCCCUUUUUUUACGUCUGCGCGCAUCCCUGGCGUCUCCCUCCUUUUCUCCCCCUUUUUCGGCGGUUCGCCUCCUCCCUCGCAUUCGUCUCCCCUUUUUCUUUUUCUGCGUUUCUUUAUGGAUGGCUGUGACCUUCCCGGUGAUGCGACGUUUACCGCACACACGCACACGCACACUCGAGAAACAAAAAAGGGAAGAAAGGAGAAAAGGAACGCGCACGAUGAUGAGAGGAAAGGCAUCAUGCAGUAAUGCCGCUCAUCGCGGUCUGCGUGUGUGUGUGUGUGUGUGUGUGUGUGUGUGUCUGUGUAUCAUGCAUAUACCUGUGUACAUGAGUGCGUGGGCAAGGGC